rnacentral:rRNA from 1 species
CCUACGGGGGGCUGCAGUGAGGAAUAUUGGUCAAUGGGCGCAAGCCUGAACCAGCCAAGUCGCGUGAGGGAUGACGGUCCUAUGGAUUGUAAACCUCUUUUGUCGGGGAGCAAGGCCCGCCACGUGUGGCGGGAAGGAGAGUACCCGAAGAAAAAGCAUCGGCUAACUCCGUGCCAGCAGCCGCGGUAAUACGGAGGAUGCGAGCGUUAUCCGGAUUUAUUGGGUUUAAAGGGUGCGUAGGCGGAAGGUUAAGUCAGCGGUAAAAUGUCGGGGCUCAACACCGGCCUGCCGUUGAAACUGGUCUUCUUGAGUGAGCGAGAAGUAUGCGGAAUGCGUGGUGUAGCGGUGAAAUGCAUAGAUAUCACGCAGAACUCCGAUUGCGAAGGCAGCAUACCGGCGCUCAACUGACGCUGAGGCACGAAAGCGUGGGGAUCGAACAGGAUUAGAUACCCCAGUAGUC